ACUUUAGUAUUGACCCCAAUCCACGUGUGUUGAGGUGGAUUUGGGUGUAAAUUAGUUUAAGUUACACCCCAAUCCAUCUCAAUACAUGUGGAUUAGGAUCAAUACUAGA
rfam:Zea mays cultivar B73 chromosome 3, whole genome shotgun sequence.